GCUUUGGGCCAUCCGUGGGGAAAUGCAAAGACUUACAGGAGCCCUGGGAAGUAAUUUGGUCACCUCUUCUCUCUGGAUGAGUGCACCAGGGGGCAGGGAACAUGGCCACAGCCAUAGCCAUAGCCUCAAUGCUGGCUGAUGUCCGCAGGGCUCCUUCUGGCUCUCCGAGAGUCUGGUCGGCUGGCUUGCACAGCUUCAAAGGAACUUCCUGUCCGAAGCUGCCUGGGGAUGACCCUGCAGAACCUGGAAUCUUAGAAUUCUAGAGCUGCCGGGGAGAUUUUGUCUCUCUCCACCCAGCUCUCACAGGUGGAAGCAAAGCAGGCAUAAGGAAAUGGAUGCCUUUCCUGAGCUCUCACAACGAGAUUAGAAGUACUUCUGAAGUUUCCAGACUCAGAAAGGUGAAACCAAGAAUGAAGUCCACCACAGACCAGGCUGCCUUCCUAGUCUGUCACCCGUACAGUUGAUUAGGGAGAUACUUACUGAGAAAUGAACCUGUGCCAGAUAGAGAAAGAAAGGGAUGCAGCCAUGGAUUCGGGACCCUGGAGGGAUACGAGAUUGGAGGCAUCAUCAGAAUUGGUUGGAGGGAUCAGGGGCUCGCUAUCCACAGGCUGGACAGGGCCCCUGACAGCUGUCUGGCC